rnacentral:rRNA from 1 species
GACGAACGCUGGCGGCGUGCUUAACACAUGCAAGUCGAACGGAAAGGCCCUGCUUUUGUGGGGUGCUCGAGUGGCGAACGGGUGAGUAACACGUGAGUAACCUGCCCUUGACUUUGGGAUAACUUCACGAAACUGGGGCUAAUACCGGAUAGGAGCUCCUGCUGCAUGGUGGGGGUUGGAAAGUUUCGGCGGUUGGGGAUGGACUCGCGGCUUAUCAGCUUGUUGGUGGGGUAGUGGCUUACCAAGGCUUUGACGGGUAGCCGGCCUGAGAGGGUGACCGGCCACAUUGGGACUGAGAUACGGCCCAGACUCCUACGGGAGGCAGCAGUGGGGAAUAUUGCACAAUGGGCGGAAGCCUGAUGCAGCAACGCCGCGUGCGGGAUGACGGCCUUCGGGUUGUGAACCGCUUUCGCCUGUGACGAAGCGUGAGUGACGGUAAUGGGUAAAGAAGCACCGGCUAACUACGUG